UGAUCCUACGGGAGGCAGCAGUGGGGAAUCUUCCGCAAUGGGCGAAAGCCUGACGGAGCAAAGCCGCGUGAUCGAAUGAAGGCCUUCGGGUUGUAAAGAUCUGUUGACAGGGACGAAUAAGCAAUGCGAAUAGUUUUGUGUAUGACGGGACCUGUUUAGAAAGAUCCGGCUAAAUACGUGCCAGCAGCCGCGGUAAUACGUAGGGAGCAAGAGUUGUACGGAAUUAAUGGGCGGAAAGGGCGCGUAGGUGGGCGCUUAAGUCAGGUGUGAAAACUCCGGGC
rnacentral:rRNA from 1 species